rnacentral:ncRNA from 21 species
GAACACAACACGGGGUGCCUUAAUACAAGGGCUGAGAUUAUACCCGCUGAACCUCGACAGGGUAAUGCCGGUUAGGGAAUAGCAAAUUCAGCUA